ensembl:lncRNA
AAUCACCCUCAUUCUUUUCCAUCCUAGAAAGGCUGCAAGUCCACAAGAUAUCAAUACAUUUUCAUCCAAGCCUGAUCUCUAAACCCACUUGUUUAGCUGAGUCCCAUGCAAAUCUACGUGCAUUAAUGUACUGGAAGCUGUUUGCCUUGUCCCUGAGACAACAGCACAGUCCAGUUUGCCUGAACUCCUUCAUGCAUCUCCCACACAGAGCUCUGGUCUGUAAUACAAGCACAAUAAGGCUCCAUCAGAACUCAGAGAGCACUUAUCAGGUAAGGACAUAGAAGUCCUACACCUGUCUUUUUGUUACAGCCACUCACUGCAUCUUGCAUUCAUCAGACAAGUGGUUCUCAACAUUUUCUUGGCUCAAACACACCUAUGUGUCAGUAAUUUUUCAUCACACGCCUACCCCUGUUUGCCAAUAUAUCACACAACCGCAUCUUGAACCAAGCCUGUUAUUAACUAAAACUUGGGGGUAAACCUGACAGAGUAGUGAGGCUUCCUUCAUGCACCAAUUAGUCUUUAAGCUCCUUGGCAAAUGGCCUCUUUCACCUUUUGUUUAACGAGUCCCCUAUGCAGUCACGCUUUCAUUUGUAAAUACAGCGAGGCUUUUAUCCUGUUUAGGUAUGGAGGAAAUAUAUAGCUUCACCCCUCUGAGUUGUUUCUCAUUUAGUCAAAACCAAAAGCAUAAACUCGUGUGGAAGACACUCUUCUAUUUGUUUUGUUUUGUUUCACUUUAACUCCAUUGCUUAGGAGGAAAAUCUAUUCAAAUAAAAGAGGAGUAUAUAAGCACUUAAACUAAUCUUGAGUUUGUCACCAGUAACAUAGCUUCGGUUAAGUAAAUGUAAAUGUUCUUCUGUAUCAUGAAGCACUAAAUAAGACUGAUAAAGAGGAAAAACACAACACAGCCUUCAUUUCAUUGUAUGCAAAGCAGAUAGAGGGAAGCUGCUAUGGAGGGCAUCACACUCCAAAAGACAAGCCAGGAAACCAAUUUAUAUAAUCCCUAUUUCUAGGUACUGGUAGUUUUAUUCUGAAGUAGUAAUUGGUUUUGCUUUGAGGAAAGAAAGAAGUUUCUGGAUAUGCCCUGGAAUGCUUUCUGAAAAAGAAAAAAAAAAGUCUGUUUGUCUGAAAUAACACUUAAAAAAUAUUACAUUUCUGCAUACCCCAAGCUGAAAACAUACAUGUGAAAAAACAUACACAAGGAAAACCUUUCAUUCUCUAUGCCCUCAAAACCAUUACGGCAGUAUAUGGAAACAUCUCUGAACCAUCUUUAGCUAAACACAGCAGGUGCCUAGACAUUACAGGAAGGUGUAUGGAGCCCAAGGCUGAGGACACUCCUGCAACUUUCCCUUGACCCAACAAUGGGUCAAGCCAGCACUUUGCUUUUUUUGCUCCAAAGAUAUGCAGGUAUCCAGCCUACAUUAACAGCUACAGUCCUAAUCCCAAAAGAACUCUAAAAUAAGUUCUACAGGAUGCCAACAGCUGAGAAAAUACAAUUCCUUCUCACUUAAGCUGACUUAAGUACAGAUUAAUUUAUUGUAACAGUAUCAAAAGGAAGGGAAAUCUACUGAUGAAUCUGCCCAUUUUCCCCCCAUGAUAAACGAAGUGUUACAGACAUCAGACGUCAGUAAGAAACUGUCUGGGAAGAGAUAAUUCAAAAGCGACUCCUCUAAAAAAAGCAAGCAGCCGGGUGGUGUCUAGUCAAGGCACGAUAAGUUAGUUAAAAAACAGACUGCAGAGUGCUGAUACUACAGCAUGGUUACAGCACGUACGAAUCUGAGCAAAUACAACCAACGGCAAAAAAAAUGGGAAGUCCAGUACUUUAGAGAAUGGCAAGUACGGCAAGCACACAAAAGACAUGUUCAAGUUUGCUUGUGCUAAUGUCCUUCUACUAAAACUAAUGGUUCAUCUUUAAAGAGCUGCUUAAGACAUUUACCUUCCUUGCUACAGUGUAGGGUAACCAGAAACUUGCUGAUGUGUUUGCGGAGAGCUACCUCCAUCUGUAUUUAGUAUGCCUGUUCUCUCACAAACACUCUAAAAAUCACAAAGAUUUGUCCUGUGCUGCUUUAAGUUUAUUUCCAUGGUAUGAGGCUCUCUUGCGGACACCACUUUACAAAAAAGCCUAAUUGAUGUUUUGUUUGGUUUUAAAUGGAGCAAAAAAAAAACAACCAAAGACUUUCCUGUAUUAAAAAAAUCUGUUCUGUUUGUCCUGGUCGGGUAAAGAACAGAACUGAGUCACAGUGUUCUACCUUACUGCAACUUCUCGGAAUGCAGUGGUGUUGCCCCCGACUUACAAAAGCCAAAAACAUCAUGCUUUUCUUCUGCAGGACUGUUUCCCAGGCAACCUUAGGAGUUAAGUCCCUAAAUCAACAGCUGUACAUCACAAGUUAAUUCAUUCUUUUUUUUUUCCCCCCUCCAUUUCUAUAAUGAAAAAGCUGCAUGAGUGGAAAGGCAGCCAAGACUUGCCUUUCCUACAAACAAAUCAUGCUUGGAUGGGGAGGCAGGAUAACCAACUUCCCAGAAUUUUUAAGUCCAAUUCUCAUCUCCUACCUGUUUUACUCACAUGGAAAUCUACUCAUUUAAAUCACUCAGUGUCUGAUUUUUGUUCUUUUUUGCUUUGGAAUUACUCUCUUCUCUAUUCACAUCAGCUCUAGCUGUUCACGGAAGAAAAAAUAUUUUACCUGUAUUUCAGCAUCUCCCUUUUGUAU